rnacentral:sRNA from 1 species
AGCAGCCGCGGUAAUUCCAGCUCCAAUAGCGUAUAUUAAAGUUGUUGCAGUUAAAAAGCUCGUAGUUGAAUUUCGGGAUCAAUUGAUUGGUCAUGCCUUGGUAUGUACUGGUCAUAUUGGUUCUCACCUUCUAAUGAACCAUAAUGUCAUUUACUUGAUGUUAUGGGGAAUUAGGACUGUUACCUUGAAAAAAUUAGAGUGUUUAAAGCAGGCUUACGCUUGAAUACAUUAGCAUGGAAUAAUGAAAUAGGACAUCGCAUUCUAUUUUGUUGGUUUCUAGGAUCGAUGUAAUGAUUAAUAGGGAUAGUUGGGGGCAUUAGUAUUCAAUUGUCAGAGGUGAAAUUCUUGGAUUUAUUGAAGACUAACUACUGCGAAAGCAUUUGCCAAGGAUGUUUUCAUUAAUCAAGAACGAAAGUUAGGGGAUCGAAGACGAUCAGAUACCGUCGUAGUCUUAACCAUAAACUAUGCCGACUAGGGAUCGGAUGAUGUUAAUUUUUAAAUGACUCAUUC